UGCAAGUCGAGCGAUGAAACUACUUCGGUAGUGAAUUAGCGGCGAACGGGUGAGGAACACGUGAGGAAUCUGCCUUCAACACUGGGAUAACUCCGGGAAACCGGGGCUAAUACCGGAUACGAGCCUUGAUCGCAUGAUCGAGGCUGGAAAGUUUUUCGGUUGAAGAUGACCUCGCGGCCUAUCAGCUUGUUGGUGAGGUAAUGGCUCACCAAGGCGGCGACGGGUAGCCGGCCUGAGAGGGCGACCGGCCACACUGGGACUGAGACACGGCCCAGACUCCUACGGGAGGCAGCAGUGGGGAAUAUUGGGCAAUGGAGGAAACUCUGACCCAGCGACGCCGCGUGCGGGAUGAAGGCCUUCGGGUUGUAAACCGCUUUCAGUAGGGAAGAAGCGAAAGUGACGGUACCUACAGAAGAAGCACCGGCUAACUAUGUGCCAGCAGCCGCGGUAAUACAUAGGGUGCAAGCGUUGUCCGGAAUUAUUGGGCGUAAAGAGCUCGUAGGUGGUUUGAUACGUCGGGUGUGAAAUUCAGGGGCUCAACCCCUGACCUGCAUUCGAUACGGUCAAGCUAGAGUUUGGUAGGGGAGACUGGAAUUCCUGGUGUAGCGGUGGAAUGCGCAGAUAUCAGGAGGAACACCGAUGGCGAAGGCAGGUCUCUGGGCCAAUACUGACACUGAGGAGCGAAAGCGUGGGGAGCGAACAGGAUUAGAUACCCUGGUAGUCCACGCCGUAAACGGUGGGCGCUAGUUGUGCGAACCUUCCACGGUUUGUGCGACGCAGCUAACGCAUUAAGCGCCCCGCCUGGGGAGUACGAUCGCAAGAUUAAAACUCAAAGGAAUUGACGG
rnacentral:rRNA from 1 species